CAAAUUCCAUUGUGACCUAUUGUGUUAUAUAUCUGGAUAUGGAAAUUGAGCUACAAAGCUGAGCACAGAACUAUGACUAUUCAAACACGUUGAAGAUACAACAGAGAAUGAAUAGCAAUGAAAGACAGUCUUGACUUGCUGCCAAGGAGAAAGAGAAGAGAUGAUGAACGGCCGAUUUGAGACAACUACCACUCAAAGGAUUUAUAAGAAGGAAAUGUUCUACAUUACUCAAGAAGAACAGAACAUGAGUUCAUUACACCCAUUGCAUCUUUUAGAUAGGGCUAAACUCUCAGAUUUUGAAUGCUGUCUUUGAUAAGCAUAGCUAGCUGUACUGUUGUCAUAGCUCAAGACUCAAGUACUGAUUUAUGCCUUGACCCUAAGUAACAUUCUGAAAAUGCUACUAAAUUUGAGAUCCUGAUUUGGAAGUCAAGAAUUGUAUGAUGUAACAUAAUUUUGAAGUCUAAAUACCAGUUAUUCUUGAAAACAAAACAAAACAAAAACACAGCUCCAAAGGCUGGCAAUUAAUCGUCAACAUCAACAUGUGUUUAUUAAGCCCUGCUUUGAGAGCUAUAAAAUAUAUAUUAGAACGUCUCUAUUUUAAGAAGCUCACAAACUUUCUGUAAUAAAGGUAAAGUUUAUUCUCUUCACGAACAGGGCUCCUUGCUAGUAUAUAUGCAUUGUUUAAAGCACAUUCUUCUAGGUUAUUUCAUUCUAUGGGGACUCUGAGUCUUUCAUUGCCUUUGAACUAUUUUACAACACUGUAAAUUGUAGAUAACCGAUAGCAGUACAAAAGAAUUCUCCUCUAUAGAUAUGCAAAUAAAUUCUGUCCAGCGGAAGUUCAAAG
rnacentral:lncRNA from 1 species